CUGGUUUAGUGUUGAGGUUGGUAUGUAUGGUCUGCCCUGUUUUAGUGUUGAGGUGGAUAUGUACGGUCUGGCCACAGUGGAGAGAGUUCUCAAAGACUGGUUUAGUGUUGAGGUGGAUAUGUACGGUCUGGCCACAGUGGAGAGAGUUCUCAAAGACUGGUUUAGUGUUGAGGUGGAUAUGUACGGUCUGGCCACAGUGGAGAGAGUUCUCAAAGACUGGUUUAGUGUUGAGGUGGAUAUGUACGGUCUGGCCACAGUGGAGAGAGUUCUCAAAGACUGGUUUAGUGUUGAGGUGGAUAUGUACGGUCUGGCCACAGUGGAGAGAGUUCUCAAAGACUGGUUUAGUGUUGAGGUGGAUAUGUACGGUCUGGCCACAGUGGAGAGAGUUCUCAAAAACUGGUUUAGUGUUGAGGUUGGUAUGUAUGGUCUGCCCUGUUUUAGUGUUGAGGUGGAUAUGUACGGUCUGGCCACAGU